rnacentral:lncRNA from 1 species
GACAGAUAUAAACAUAUUUUCUUAGGACCAAGCAUCCUGAGAGACAUAGAUUUUCAAGGAUCACGAACAACAUAACAUAUGGCUUGAAUACUUGAAAGACUGGAUUAUUGGGAGACAUAGCUCAAAUCAUAAAUAUAAAUCCAUAGAGAACUCAAACCAUAGGCAUAGGCAUUACUUGAACAGAUGAAGUAAGACAUUAGUAGGAUACUCUCCUAAAUUGAAGUAAGAGGAUUAUGAUUGAGUAGAAUUUGGUUGGUCAUGGUUCCUCCCGGC